GAUGAACGCUGGCGGCGUGCCUAAUACAUGCAAGUCGAGCGAACGGACGAGAAGCUUGCUUUUCUGAUGUUAGCGGCGGACGGGAGAGUAACAUGUGGAUAACAUACCUAUAAGACUGGGAUAACUUCGGGAAACCGGAGCUAAUACCGGAUAAUAUUUUGAACCGCAUGGUUCAAAAGUGAAAGACGGUCUUGCUGUCACUUAUAGAUGGAUCCGCGCUGCAUUAGUUAGUUGGUAAGGUAACGGCUUACCAAGGCAACGAUGCAUAGCCGACCUGAGAGGGUGAACGGCGACACUGGAACUGAGACACGGUACAGACUCCUACGGGAGGCAGCAGUAGGGAAUCUUCCGCAAUGGGCGAAAGCCUGACGGAGCAACGCCGCGUGAGUGAUGAAGGUCUUCGGAUCGUAAAACUCUGUUAUUAGGGAAGAACAUAUGUGUAAGUAACUGUGCACAUCUUGACGGUACCUAAUCAGAAAGCCACGGCUAACUACGUG
rnacentral:rRNA from 1 species